rnacentral:rRNA from 1 species
UAGGGAAUCUUCGGCAAUGGGGGCAACCCUGACCGAGCAACGCCGCGUGAGUGAAGAAGGUUUUCGGAUCGUAAAGCUCUGUUGUAAGUCAAGAACGGGUGUGAGAGUGGAAAGUUCACACUGUGACGGUAGCUUACCAGAAAGGGACGGCUAACUACGUGCCAGCAGCCGCGGUAAUACGUAGGUCCCGAGCGUUGUCCGGAUUUAUUGGGCGUAAAGCGAGCGCAGGCGGUUUGAUAAGUCUGAAGUUAAAGGCUGUGGCUCAACCAUAGUUCGCUUUGGAAACUGUCAAACUUGAGUGCAGAAGGGGAGAGUGGAACUCCAUGUGUAGCGGUGAAAUGCGUAGAUAUAUGGAAGAACACCAGUGGCGAAGGCGGCUCUCUGGUCUGUAACUGACGCUGAGGCUCGAAAGCGUGGGUAGCAAACAGGAUUAGAUACCCUGGUAGUCCACGCCGUAACG